CAAUAGCGUAUAUUAAAGUUGUUGCAGUUAAAAAGCUCGUAGUUGGAUUUCGGGGCAGCCUGGCUGGUCCGCCGCAAGGCGAGUACUGGUCAGCCGCCCUUCCUCUCGAAAGCCCCGACUGCUCUUUAUUGCAGUGGUCGGGUGGUUCGGGACGUUUACUUUGAAAAAAUUAGAGUGUUCAAGGCAGGCCUACGCCUGAAUACAUUAGCAUGGAAUAAUGGAAGAGGACCUCGGUCCUAUUUUGUUGGUUUCCAGGACCGAAGUAAUGAUUAAGAGGGACAGUUGGGGGCAUUCGUAUUUAAUUGUCAGAGGUGAAAUUCUCGGAUUUAUGAAAGACGAACAACUGCGAAAGCAUUUGCCAAGGAUGUUUUCAUUAA
rnacentral:rRNA from 1 species